CUCUGGUGCCAUACCAUCUAUAUGUAAGCCCUCUCCUGGCCAGGCUGCCUACCAUUUCUUGGCUGGAUAUCAUGAUGGAAAAUUUGUCCUAGCGUACAGCAAAGCCUCCUCUCCUGGUGACCCACUUGCACUUGCAAGUUCCUUGUUUUCACAUGAACGGAUAGGGCAGCGGCUUGACUCCAGGGUGACUACGCUCGUCAGGAUGCUCGCUUGAGCCUUCUGUGCCCCCCUCCAAGACCCCAACAGUGGCAGCGGCUACAUUCGCCACAGCUCCACGACGAUCUCCUUGGUGCUCCGUAUAGUUAUUACACGAUAUCAACUUAGAGCAUUUUAGUAGACAUAGAGGGUCCUAAUUUGGUCUUUCUACCAAAGCUUUCAUUUGAAGGCAAUAUAAGGAGAAACAUAUCAAAGUUUGAGGUUAGAUACUGGAUCAUUUUAAAAAUUCUACCAUUGUUUAGUUUCAUAGUUACUGUAGUUUGUAAACUUAAAUUGUGAAAUGUGUAUGUGCAGUUCUUAACAUAUGUUUAGUACCAUGUGGAUUGUUUUUCCCCCUGUUCCAAAUAGGCAACAAUCUUUCCAUUCUUUUAUGCUUGAGGUAUAGAAUAACCACAUGCUUGUAUUAAACCUAUCUUUUUUCUACUGUGUAUUUUGACAUCUC